UAACAGUUCAGUUUAUUAGGUGCUUUAAUAAAGUAACUUUAUAGUGAAAAAUAAUAUAAGCUUUUUAUGAUUUGCUCACAGCAUGACAGACACGAGGAAAGACGCCCUCAGUAACAGUAAUAACAUCUCGUGAGUGCAGGGGAGUGAGCAAGCACAGCAGCCGCUAGCGUCAAGCGUCGUCGUCGGGCUGUCUGAAGGCUGAGGAGCCUCUGAUGACACCGAGAUCUGAGUUGGCAAUCAUGCCAGCCCAGCUUCCGAGCAUCACUGACCAUAAGCCUAACGAGAUAAAAACUCCACUCUAUCACCUAUUUUGAAGCCGUGGACAGGAAUUCCUUUGGCUGUGAUAUUUACUCCAGAAUCUCGUUCCCUUUCGGAGGCCUCUUCAUCCGCGAGUAGGGACUUAUUGUGUCAUCCGUCACAAAGUCAUAGAGCACCUUGAUCCAGGAGUUGUAGUGCGGGAGGUCAUCGUAGUACUCACUUGCGAUCUUCCUCACCUGGGAGUGAAAACACAGACAGGCGGCCGUGUUAUUGAGACCUCAAGAUGAUGGGUGACACAGACUGAGGGACAAAAUACAACCACGGGCAAGUGCUUUCCCUCAUGGCCCUUUAGACCGUCUGCAGUUCUUCAUGAACAAAGAUGGCCUACAGAUCACAUACAUAUAAACAGUUUCAUCAUAAUCGACACCAAAUUUAUGGGAAACCAGGAGCAAUCAGUUUCAUUUAACAGCUGGAGCAGAAAGAUGGCAGCAUUCCAGAUGUUAAGAUGACGGAGUCAGUUCAGAGCCUGGAAGACGUGACAAGCCUACCGUCCAGAGAGAGCGCCUGCCGGGGAG
rnacentral:lncRNA from 1 species